UGAGGAAUAUUGGACAAUGGGCGCAAGCCUGAUCCAGCCAUGCCGCGUGCAGGAAGAAGCAUCUAUGGUGUGUAAACUGCUUUUGUACGGGAAGAAACACUCCCUCGUGAAGGAGCUUGACGGUACCGUAAGAAUAAGGAUCGGCUAACUCCGUGCCAGCAGCCGCGGUAAUACGGAGGAUCCAAGCGUUAUACGGAAUCAUUGGGUUUAAAGGGUCGGUUGGCGGUUUAGUAAGUCAGUGGUGUAAGCCCAUCGCUCAACGAUGGAACGGCCAUUGAUACUGCUAGACAUGAAAUAUUAGGAAGUAUAUAGAAUAUGUAGUGUAGCGGUGAAAUGCUUAGAUAUUACAUGGGAUACCAAUUGCGAAGGCAGGUUACUACUAAUGGAUUGACGCUGAUGGACGAAAGCGUGGGGAGCGAACA
rnacentral:rRNA from 1 species